GAUGAACGCUGGCGGCGUGCCUAAUACAUGCAAGUCGAGCGGACAGACGAGGCGCUUGCUCCUCGGACGUUAGCCGCGGGCGGGUGAGUAACACGUGGAUAACCUACCUAUAAUACUGGGAUCACUUCGGAACUCCGGAUCUAAUACCGUAGAAUCUAUUGAACCGCAUGGUUCAAUAGUGAAAGUCGGUGUUGCUGUCACUUCUCGAUGGAUCCGCGCCGCAUUAGCUGGUUGGUAAGGUAACGGCUUACCAAGGCAACGAUGCGUAGCCGACCUGAGAGGGUGAUCGCCCACACGGGAACUGAGACGCGGUCCAGACUCCUACGGGAGGCAGCAGUAGGGAAUCUUCCGCAAUGGGCGAAAGUCUGACGGAGCAACGCCGAGCGAGUGAUGAAGGCCUUCGGAUCGUAAAACUGUGUUAUUAGGGAAGAACAAAUGUGUAAGGAAAUAUGCACGUCUUGACGGUACCUGAUAAGAAAGCCACGGCUAACUACGUG
rnacentral:rRNA from 1 species